GGCCCGUUAGCUCAGUUGGUUAGAGCGUCGUGCUAAUAAAGCGAAGGUCGUGGGUUCGAUCCCCCCACGGGCCA
rnacentral:tRNA from 1 species